GCAAUAUCCUUCAACAAUUUUGCUACAAAUCACAUAUAUGCAUAAGUAGAUAAAUAAGAUUCACUGCAAUCUUAAAAGAGACAUAGGCAUUCAACACCUGAUAAAUUUUUGUGUUCCUUUACAAUUCUAACACACGAAACCAGGAUCAAAAUACCUUGAUCAUGAACCCACAUAUACACUAGUAUACAGAAACUUAAUUG
rnacentral:lncRNA from 1 species